rnacentral:tRNA from 1 species
UAUAUCUUAGUAUAAAUGUAUAAAAGUUUUUGAUGCUUUAGGAAAUAGUUAAAAUCUAUUAGAUAUA